rnacentral:rRNA from 1 species
CAAUAGCGUAUAUUAAAGUUGUUGCAGUUAAAAAGCUCGUAGUUGGAUUUCUGGGAGGGUGCCAAUGUCCGUCGACGUACGUGUUGCAGCGGCGCCCUUCCAUCCUUCUGUUAACGGCUCUUGGCAUUCAUUUGCUGGUGUCGGGCUCAGAUAUUUUACCUUGAGAAAAUUAGAGUGUUUCAGGCAGGCUAGGCCGGAAUACAUUAGCAUGGAAUAAUGGAAUAGGACUACGGUCUCUUUGUUGGUUUGAGGGACUGCAGUAAUGAUUAAUAGGGAUAGUUGGGGGCAUUUGUAUUCAAACGACAGAGGUGAAAUUCUUGGACCGUUUGAAGACAGACUACUGCGAAAGCAUUUGCCAAGAAUGUUUUCAUUAAUCAAGAACGAAAGUUAGAGGUUCGAAGACGAUCAGAUACCAU